GAAAAGAACCAACAGGGAUUGCCUCAGUAACGGCGAGUGAAGCGGCAAAAGCUCAAAUUUGAAAUCUGGCAGCCUCGCUGUCCGAGUUGUAAUUUGAAGAUUUCUCUUUGUGAGAGGCGCCUUGUCUAUGUUCCUUGGAACAGGACGUCGCAGAGGGUGAGAAUCCCGUGUGAUGAGGCCGCCGAUCCGUGUAAAGAGUCAUCGACGAGUCGAGUUGUUUGGGAAUGCAGCUCUAAGUGGGUGGUAAACUCCAUCUAAAGCUAAAUAUUGGCGAGAGACCGAUAGCGAACAAGUACAGUGAUGGAAAGAUGAAAAGAACUUUGAAAAGAGAGUGAAAAAGUACGUGAAAUUGUUGAAAGGGAAGGUUAUUAGAUCAGACUUGGCGGCGCGCCAUACCUGUCCUCUUGUAGGGCGGACACUGGCGCGUGUUUGCUGGGCCAGCAUCGAUUCGGGCGGCGGGACAUGGUCCUGUGGGAUGUGGCUGUUUAACACAGUGUUAUAACCACGGGUCUCUGCCGCCUGCCUGGAUCGAGGACUGCGUCUGUUUACAGACUAGGAUGCUGGCGUAAUGAUCUAAUAUCGCCCGUC
rnacentral:rRNA from 1 species